CAGUCGCCGCGGUAAUACGAAGGGUGCAAGCGUUAAUCGGAAUUACUGGGCGUAAAGCGUGCGUAGGCGGUUUGUUAAGUCUGUUGUGAAAUCCCCGGGCUCAACCUGGGAAUGGCAAUGGAUACUGACAAGCUAGAGUGUGUCAGAGGAUGGUGGAAUUCCCGGUGUAGCGGUGAAAUGCGUAGAGAUCGGGAGGAACAUCAGUGGCGAAGGCGGCCAUCUGGGACAACACUGGCGCUGAGGCACGAAAGCGUGGGGAGCAAACAGGAUUAGAUACCCCCGUAGUCCCUGUCUCUUAUAC
rnacentral:rRNA from 1 species